GAUGAAGAACGCAGCGAAAUGCGAUACGUAAUGUGAAUUGCAGAAUUCAGUGAAUCAUCGAAUCUUUGAACGCAUAUUGCGCUCUUUGGUAUUCCGAAGAGCAUGCUUGUUUGAGUAUCAGUAAACACCUCAAAGCUUUUGGAUUUUUUAAUCGAAUAGCUUUGGACUUGAGCAAUCCCAACACCAAUCUUUUUGAGAUCGGUGGCGGGUUGCUUGAAAUGCAGGUGCAGCUGGACAGUCUCCUGAGCUAAAAGCAUAUUCAUUUAGUCCCGUCAAACGGAUUAUUACUUUUGCUGCAGCUAACAUAAAGGGAGUUUGACCGUAUUGGCUGACUGAUGCAGGAUUUCACAAGGGUCGGCAACGAUUCUUGUUAAACUCGAUCUCAAAUCAAGUAAGACUACCCGCUGAACUUAAGCAUAUCAAUAAGCGGAGGA
rnacentral:misc_RNA from 1 species